UUAGUAUUUCUGGGCAAUAUGUGAGCUUGAGUUUCCUUGGGUGAAAGCUAAUGCCUUAGACCACCCUUUAGACCACCAUUCCAUCUAGUUAUAGUACAUAUUAAUGUUAUUCUUGGGUCAUUUAACUUACUCUCAGUGAAGAGUGGAGAAUGGUGCUAAGCUGUAAAUCAGCUCUGUCCUGCAAUGGAUUCGUGCCAUAACAGAUCAUCUCGAAAAUUCCAGCCUUGCCUGACCACGCUAAAGAGAUUAUGGACAGCCUCAGGACUCUGCCCACUGCAAUCUGUGACACUACCUGCUCCCCCUCAAAAGGUUCAAAGAGCUGCCUUCUGUCAAGCUGUAUCUUCCCCUGUGCCCUGGGUCUCCAAGCCAUGCCCAGCCCAUCCAUGUCACUCUGCUUUCCUCAGAGCAAUAACUGCGAAUAAUCCCUGGUCCCCAGCUGAGCGGGGUGCAGCUCCCGGCACGCAGCUGAUCCUGGCACGAUGACAUUUCCACUGGUCUGGGUGGACACGAGCAGGUGCAAAGCAUGACCUGAGGGAUCUGGGCUGCCUGUCCCAGUGAGAGGGACACGGAGGUGCCAGGCAGGGAGCCUGACAGCCCUGCUGCCUGCCCUCAGCCCUCAGCCUGCACCCACCGCUCCCGCCUGCACCUUCUGCGCCAGCUUCGUGUUUAAUAAAGUUGUGGCCUCUUGGCUUUCACCACAACACAGUUCCCAGGUUUAUUUCCCAAGGGUUCAUCGCAACAGAA